rnacentral:rRNA from 1 species
UACGUAGGGUGCGAGCGUUGUCCGGAAUCACUGGGCGUAAAGCGCACGUAGGCGGCUUUCUAAGUCAGGGGUGAAAUCCUGGAGCUCAACUCCAGAACUGCCUUUGAUACUGGAGAGCUUGAGUCCGGGAGAGGUGAGUGGAACUCCGAGUGUAGAGGUGAAAUUCGUAGAUAUUCGGAAGAACACCAGUGGCGAAGGCGGCUCACUGGCCCGGUACUGACGCUGAGGUGCGAAAGCGUGGGGAGCAAACAGG